rnacentral:misc_RNA from 1 species
UUAACUAUUUAAUAGUACUCAGACGACACUAACAUUCAGAGUUUAGGGGUCCUCUGGCGGGCACGCCGGACGCGAAUCCAGGCGUGCUAGGCACGCGGCCCGCCAAAGCAACAUUCUAUAAUGAUACACAAGGGUGGGAGAUCUACCCCGAAGGGCAUGAACUCUGUAAUGAUCCUUCCGCAGGUUCACCUACGGAGA